rnacentral:rRNA from 1 species
AGAGUUUGAUCAUGGCUCAGGACGAACGCUGGCGGCGUGCUUAACACAUGCAAGUCGAACGGAGAUUUAGGAGAGCUUGCUCUCCGAAGAUCUUAGUGGCGGACGGGUGAGUAACGCGUGGGCAAUCUGCCCGUAAGAGGGGGAUAACACCUAGAAAUGGGUGCUAAUACCGCAUAACAUCACUGAGGUGCAUGCUUUGGUGAUCAAAGGAGUAAUCCGCUUACGGAUGAGCCCGCGUCUGAUUAGCUAGUUGGUGGGUAACGGCCUACCAAGGCGACGAUCAGUAGCCGGCCUGAGAGGGUGACCGGCCACACUGGAACUGAGACACGGUCCAGACUCCUACGGGAGGCAGCAGUGGGGAAUCUUCCGCAAUGGGCGAAAGCCUGACGGAGCAACGCCGCGUGAGUGAUGAAGGCCUUCGGGUUGUAAAACUCUGUCUUCAGGGAAGAAACAAAUGACGGUACCUGAGGAGGAAGCCACGGCUAACUACGUGCCAGCMGCCGCGGUAAUA